rnacentral:misc_RNA from 1 species
CAGAGUUGCAAAACUCCCUAAACCAUCGUGAACGUUACCCAAACCGUUGCUUCGGCGGGCGGCGCCCUCGCGCGCCCCUGGGCCCCACCGCGGGCGCCCGCCGGAGGUACCCAAACUCUUGAUACCUUAUGGCCACUCUGAGUCUUCUGUACUGAAUAAGUCAAAACUUUCAACAACGGAUCUCUUGGUUCUGGCAUCGAUGAAGAACGCAGCGAAAUGCGAUAAGUAAUGUGAAUUGCAGAAUUCAGUGAAUCAUCGAAUCUUUGAACGCACAUUGCGCCCGCCAGUAUCCUGGCGGGCAUGCCUGUUCGAGCGUCAUUUCAACCAUCAAGCCCCCGGCUUGUGUUGGGGACCUGCGGCUGCCCGCAGGCCCUGAAAACCAGUGGCGGGCUCGCUAGUCACACCGAGCGUAGUAGCAUACAUCUCGCUCAGGGCGUGCUGCGGGUUCCGGCCGUUAAACGACCUUCAUAACCCAAGGUUGACCUCGGAUCAGGUAGGAGGACCCGCUGAACUUAAGCAUAUCAAUAAGCGGAGGA